rnacentral:misc_RNA from 1 species
CAUUAAUCAAAAAAUAUUAGGGCGGAAAGAGUUUCACCGUUGACAGCAUAUUGUUACAGUUAGAACCCUAAUUUUGUUCGUAGAGAAUUAGGGGAAUUAGAAAUACAAUUUGGCGACCCACCGUUGCUCGUUUUCUUCUCCGACCGUCGUGUCGGCUAAAGGGGCUACUGAAAAUGGCAAACAUUAACAACAAAGAUGAACCAAGUACAGCGCCACAGCCAGAUCGCUGGUACAAUUUGAGUUUAGGUUCUUCCUUUAAAGAUCACCAACCUUCUUCAAAGUUCUGUACUUUACGAUAUGAAUUCAAACCUGCUUCAAUUGAUAAAAACCAACCUGGAAAACUACAUAAGACCAAGGACAAUAAGAUUUCUGUUGAAUUUCAAAAUAACCAGCCUGGUAAACCUAAGGUAGUCUUUGAUGGAAGUAGCGAGG